AAAAUGCAUGAAAUGUAUGUCGCUCUGGAUAAGAGCGUCUGCUAAAUGACUAAAA
rfam:Salmo salar isolate Sally breed double haploid chromosome ssa05, whole genome shotgun sequence.